rnacentral:lncRNA from 1 species
UCUUCUUUAAGCAAAAAUCUGAAUGAAUUCUUAUCUUGUCUCAUAAUUAUGUCUGCCAAUGCUGUCUAAAGAAUCUCCUCCAUCAGUACAACCUUCUGGAUUAACAUCUUCUUCUGAAUUAUUGUCUUCAAAAUUAUCCAAGUCUUUUCCAAUUUUCUUUUUUCCUUUAUUUUUCUUUUUAAUCUGAAUCUUCUUUUUCUUUGUAGUACUUUGUUUAACUUGUUGCUGUAUUUCUUCAAUCUUGUCAAACAUUUCUUUGAUUC